rnacentral:tRNA from 1 species
GAGGAGCUAGUCCAACUUAAGACAACUGAUUUCGACUUAGUUAAUUAUGGUUUAAACCCAUAGCUCCUCU